CCUGUGUUAAGAUACAAAUGCCAUGAAAUCUGACGUCAGCCUCCCCAUGAAUUGUUCAAAUCCCUAUCUUCAAACAUCUUAUCAAGCAAGCAUAUAGCUUCUGCUGGUGUUCCUCCAAGGACUGUGAACUUACUACUUACAAUGGGGGUCCUCUAAUGGACUGAAAUCUGCCUCCUGGCUGUCAGAUAUUAAGAAUCAGACUUCUUCCUGAAUAGUGACUUCAAGGAUGGGUACUAUACUGAAAAUGGAAUGUCUCAGAUUGGCUUUCCAGAAAAGUGCCUGAGAUAAAGACAAGAAUAUAUCAAGGUUUCUGGGAAGACAAGUAAUGAAGUACAGGAAGCAGGAGAAGGGAAACAGGAGGAAGACAAACAAGGGGGCAACUUCAGGCAAAGCCUCACCAAACCCUAGAGCUAAGCAAAGCUUCGGAGCUGUCCCAUCCCUAGUGAAGGCUGUUGGACUUUCAUAUUCUCACCCUGAGAGUCGUUGGUCAAGGGCUGCCUGGUGUUGGGCGAGGGCCAAUGUAAACUCCCAGGAAUUGCAACUCUGCACAUAUCAGCAAGUGCUCUGGUAUCCUAAGGGAAGUUCUAAAUAAAAAUUUAAAAAAAUUAAAAUUAAAAAAGGACACAGGUUCCCACACUGAAGGCAAAAGCAUCUGAUACCUGGAAAGGGAUGCACAGAAAUGGUUAAAAAAAAGAUCCAAGGGGGAUCUUUAUGGAGCAGUCACACAUUGGCUAUAAAAAAAAAAUAACUGGCAGUUACAUAGUGAGCAGCGAGAACUGCAGCUGCAUUCCCUCACUCAGCAAUGAGAACAUCUGACAGCAAUGUGCCUGCCUCCCAGGUAGAAGAUGGGAGGCCACCUCUCUGGAAAAGCAGCCGUUCUGACAGAAAAAUCCAGAAGUGCUGAAGGUUUAGGGUUCCCAAAGGAUGAAGCUGAAUCAACCUAUAGUGAAUGUACAAAUAGACAACACACACACUCACACACACACACACACACACCCAUCUUAAAUAUAAACAAUCGAGGAGCACAAUAAAUUUAAGGAAUAUCUUAAGGAAAUCAAAGCAAACAAAAUUUAAAAAUAAACGUGUGAAAAAUCAAAGUAAUGUUUUUAAAUAAAAGAACACUGCAAUUGCUAUCCUCAGAAAGGCAAGAGAAAUUAUUUUACCCAUGAAAUAAGAAUCAGAGUUAUAUAAAAGGAGUUGACAUAAAACAAGAAUAAUUAAAAUAUCUUAAAAAGCAGAGUAGACAUAAAAGAUUGAAUAACAAUUUUGGAAGACAAAGUUAAGAAGAAGAAGAAAGAACUAG
rnacentral:lncRNA from 10 species